CCUACGGGUGGCAGCAGUGGGGAAUAUUGCACAAUGGGGGAAACCCUGAUGCAGCAACGCCGCGUGAGUGAAGAAGUAUUUCGGUUUGUAAAGUUCUAUCAUCAGGGAAGAAGAUGACGGUAUCUGAAUAAGAAGCACCGGCUAACUACGUGCCAGCAGCCGCGGUAAUACGUAGGGGGCAAGCGUUAUCCGGAUUGACUGGGUGUAAAGGGUGCGCAGACGGCAGUGCAAGUCGGGAGUGAAAGCCCGGGGCCGAACACCGGAACUGCACUGGAAACUGUGCGGCUGGAGUACUGGAGGGGCAGGCGGAAUGCCUAGGGUAGGGGUGAAAUGCGGAGAUAUUAAGAGGAAGA
rnacentral:rRNA from 1 species